rnacentral:lncRNA from 1 species
CUCCAAGAAAGGGUUAUUGUUGCCGCAUUUCUCUACUUACUGGAACAAGAACCCUUAUUUCUUGGAGGGGCCUGUGGAACUACGGUCACUCCAGACCUGCUUGGGAGCAUCACUUGCGUUAGGAGCUGUACUCGGAGGAUCUCUUUAAUGAUGUAGGCUGAGUCAGCCCAACCACCACUGAAGCCAGCUACCAGCCUGUGUGAUCACGUGAUAUGUGACUACAUCUUGGCUUGUGAUAAACGAUCACGUCUCUUGACCCACAGGAGUUUGUAACAUUUUUUGGUGUAUACUGAGUCAUUACUAUUGCACUGAACCAAAAGUUUCUGCAUGCAGGAAUUCCUGGGCAAGAAAGCCACCAACUCCUGCUGAAUCUUGGAUAGAAUGUUUUCUCCAGUGAGUAGGAGCAACUGGGUAAGUUUAGUUCCUUUAUCACGUGACCUGCUUAUAUUUAUCUACACUGGCAAGAAACACUUGAACUCUUACCACUAGCCAGAGACUAAGUUUCAUAGAUAUUCUAAGUAUCUAAUUUAAUCCUUUUGACAGUCAGAAGAAGGAGGUUCUAACAGUAUCCAUAUUUUACAAUAAGUAAACUAAGUCAUGGGGCUAAUAGACUGAAGGUCACAUACUAAUUAGGUGGUUUACUUUGUUUUUGUUUUCGUGUUUUGAGACAGGGUUUUACUCUGUUGCUCAGACUGGAGUACAGUAGCAUGAUCUCAGCUCACUGUAAACUCUGCCUCCCGGGUUCAAGCUAUUCUGCCUCAGCUUCCUGAGUAGCUUGGAUUGCAUGUCCCAGCCUGUCUCUUCCUAUCUGGAAGCUUCCUUGCAUCCCAGCCUCACCAACCAAGUCUCCGAGUCCCGGUUGAGAAGCCUCAUUUGGGUGGCGAUAAGAAAAUCAGACCUACAAUCAAACAAAAACCCUUUGCCUUCUGAGAAGUUUCAGGCAGGAGCAGAGAGAGUGUUUUAA